CCAAAGUGGCGGGUCGCCUGACGAUUUUAUCCGCCACUGCCAACAAUUUACUCGCAUUUGGGAAGAUGGUGUCAUUAAUUGUCUCAACACCUGCAUAUCCUUCCACUUCUCUGUUUCGGUGUGAAUGAAGGUCUUCCCAAUCUUCAUCUUCAUCCUGGGAAAUGGGUUCAGUUAUCAUUGUGAAACCUGCCACAACUGCAAACAUAUAACAGGGAGUUGCUCUAUAAAAUAACAAUCAACCCUGAAGGGAAA